rnacentral:rRNA from 1 species
UAACACAUGCAAGUCGAGGGGCAUCCCUUUGAAAGCUUGCUUUCUUUGCCGGCGACCGGCGCACGGGUGAGUAACACGUAUCCAACCUGCCCUUUACUCGGGGAUAGCCUUUCGAAAGAAAGAUUAAUACCCGAUAGUAUAAUGAUUCCGCAUGGUUUCAUUAUUAAAGGAUUCCGGUAAAGGAUGGGGAUGCGUUCCAUUAGGUUGUUGGUGAGGUAACGGCUCACCAAGCCUUCGAUGGAUAGGGGUUCUGAGAGGAAGGUCCCCCACAUUGGAACUGAGACACGGUCCAAACUCCUACGGGAGGCAGCAGUGAGGAAUAUUGGUCAAUGGGCGCUAGCCUGAACCAGCCAAGUAGCGUGAAGGAUGAAGGCUCUAUGGGUCGUAAACUUCUUUUAUAUAAGAAUAAAGUGCAGUAUGUAUACUGUUUUGUAUGUAUUAUAUGAAUAAGGAUCGGCUAACUCCGUGCCAGCAGCCGCGGUAAUACGGAGGAUCCGAGCGUUAUCCGGAUUUAUUGGGUUUAAAGGGAGCGUAGGUGGACUGGUAAGUCAGUUGUGAAAGUUUGCGGCUCAACCGUAAAAUUGCAGUUGAUACUGUCAGUCUUGAGUACAGUAGAGGUGGGCGGAAUUCGUGGUGUAGCGGUGAAAUGCUUAGAUAUCACGAAGAACUCCGAUUGCGAAGGCAGCUCACUGGACUGCAACUGACACUGAUGCUCGAAAGUGUGGGUAUCAAACAGGAUUAGAUACCCUGGUAGUCCACACAGUAAACGAUGAAUACUCGCUGUUUGCGAUAUACAGUAAGCGGCCAAGCGAAAGCAGUAAGUAUUCCACCUGGGGAGUACGCCGGCAACGGUGAAACUCAAAGGAAUUGACGGGGGCCCGCACAAGCGGAGGAACAUGUGGUUUAAUUCGAUGAUACGCGAGGAACCUUACCCGGGCUUAAAUUGCAGUGGAAUGAUGUGGAAACAUGUCAGUGAGCAAUCACCGCUGUGAAGGUGCUGCAUGGUUGUCGUCAGCCCGUGCCGUGAGGUGUCGGCUUAAGUGCCAUAACGAGCGCAACCCUUAUCUUCAGUUACUAACAGGUCAUGCUGAGGACUCUGGAGAGACUGCCGUCGUAAGAUGUGAGGAAGGUGGGGAUGACGUCAAAUCAGCACGGCCCUUACGUCCGGGGCUACACACGUGUUACAAUGGGGGGUACAGAAGGCAGCUAGCGGGUGACCGUAUGCUAAUCCCAAAAUCCUCUCUCAGUUCGGAUCGAAGUCUGCAACCCGACUUCGUGAAGCUGGAUUCGCUAGUAAUCGCGCAUCAGCCACGGCGCGGUGAAUACGUUCCCGGGCCUUGUACACACCGCCCGUCAAGCCAUGGGAGCCGGGGGUACCUGAAGUACGUAACCGCAAGGAUCGUCCUAGGGUAAAACUGGUGACUGGGGCUAAGA